rnacentral:rRNA from 1 species
UACGUAGGGCGCAAGCGUUGUCCGGAAUUACUGGGCGUAGAGGGUGCGUAGGUGGUCGUUUAAGUCCGUUGUGAAAUCCCUGGGCUCAACCUGGGAAUGGCAGUGGAUACUGGACGGCUAGAAUGCGGUAGAGGGUAGUGGAAUUCCCGGUGUAGCAGUGAAAUGCGUAGAGAUCGGGAGGAACACCAGUGGCGAAGGCGGCUACCUGGACCAGCAUUGACACUCAAGCACGAAAGCGUGGGGAGCAAACAGG